CCCUUAGAUGUUCUGGGCCGCACGCGCGCUACACUGAUACGUUCAGCGAGUAUAUAACCUUGAUUGGAAAAUCUGGGUAAUCUUUUGAAUGCGUAUCGUGCUAGGGAUAGAUUAUUGCAAUUAUUAAUCUUGAACGAGGAAUUCCUAGUAAACGCAAGUCAUCAGCUUGCAUUGAUUACGUCCCUGCCCUUUGUACACACCGCCUGUCGCACAAACCGAUUGAAUGAUUCGGUGAAAAUUUUGGACAUCGAGAGUGGUGAUUAAUUUCGCUGCUCUUAAAUGGAAAGAAUUUAAACCUAAUGAUUUAGAGGAUUGUGAAGUCAUAACA
rnacentral:rRNA from 1 species